ACUGAGACACGGCCCAAACUCCUACGGGAGGCAGCAGUAGGGAAUCUUCCACAAUGGGCGAAAGCCUGAUGGAGCAACGCCGCGUGGGUGAAGAAGGUCUUCGGAUCGUAAAACCCUGUUGUUAGAGAAGAAAGUGCGUGAGAGUAACUGUUCACGUUUCGACGGUAUCUAACCAGAAAGCCACGGCUAACUACGUGCCAGCAGCCGCGGUAAUACGUAGGUGGCAAGCGUUAUCCGGAUUUAUUGGGCGUAAAGGGAACGCAGGCGGUCUUUUAAGUCUGAUGUGAAAGCCUUCGGCUUAACCGGAGUAGUGCAUUGGAAACUGGGAGACUUGAGUGCAGAAGAGGAGAGUGGAACUCCAUGUGUAGCGGUGGAAUGCGUAGAUAUAUGGAAGAACACCAGUGGCGAAAGCGGCUCUCUGGUCUGUAACUGACGCUGAGGUUCGAAAGCGUGGGUAGCAAACAGGAUUAGAUACCCUGGUAGUCCACGCCGUAAACGAUGAAUGCUAAGUGUUGGAGGGUUUCCGCCCUUCAGUGCUGCAGCUAACGCAAUAAGCAUUCCGCCUGGGGAGUACGACCGCAAGGUUGAAACUCAAAGGAAUUGACGGGGGCCCGCACAAGCGGUGGAGCAUGUGGUUUAAUUCGAAGCAACGCGAAGAACCUUACCAGGUCUUGACAUCUUCUGACAAUCCUAGAGAUAGGACUUUCCCUUCGGGGACAGAAUGACAGGUGGUGCAUGGUUGUCGUCAGCUCGUGUCGUGAGAUGUUGGGUUAAGUCCCGCAACGAGCGCAACCCUUAUUGUUAGUUGCCAGCAUUAAGUUGGGCACUCUAGCAAGACUGCCGGUGACAA
rnacentral:rRNA from 1 species